rnacentral:rRNA from 1 species
CAGUCGCCGCGGUAAUACGAAGGGUGCAAGCGUUAAUCGGAAUUACUGGGCGUAAAGCGUGCGUAGGCGGUUUGUUAAGUCUGCUGUGAAAUCCCCGGGCUCAACCUGGGAAUGGCAGUGGAUACUGGCUCGCUAGAGUGUGUCAGAGGAUGGUGGAAUUCCCGGUGUAGCGGUGAAAUGCGUAGAGAUCGGGAGGAACAUCAGUGGCGAAGGCGGCCAUCUGGGACAACACUGACGCUGAGGCACGAAAGCGUGGGGAGCAAACAGGAUUAGAGACCCCUGUAGUCCCUGUCUCUUAUAC